GAAAGCCGUAUACUCUGAGAGGAGUACGUACGGUUUGGAGGGGAGUUCUCGGAAACCUAUUUAGGUAACUAAGAAAGGCGCUGGGUUCUCACCCUAC
rnacentral:ncRNA from 1 species